GUCCUCGUGGUGUAGUGGUUAUCAUACUCUCUUAGGGACUGCUAUGGGAGUGGCCCCGCGUUCGAAUCGCGGCGAGGACC